rnacentral:lncRNA from 1 species
AAUUCUCUCAUGAUUUUCUCCUGAUUUGCACUGCUCUCUUGGUAAAAGAGAGAGUAAUUUCCUAGAUUCCUGGAUUGUGAUGAUUAACAUACAAUUCUUUAGCUAUUUUUUCCUAGUGUCUCGAUUGUUUUGACUAUAAAUGCAUACUUUAAGGAUUUCUACAGGGCAAAAUAGAAGUAUAACCUUUCUUGUAACUUAUGUAAGAUAGCAUUAGCUAAUUUUGGUUGUUAAUUGGUAUGAGAUCAUAAGUAGCCAAACUAAUUUAUUUAAAUAAGGUUUUUAGUUCUAUUGCCUUACCAAUUUUCCAGAUGGAUCUAAUUAUCUAAAAUGUAUAUUAUCUAAUUUAAUUGCAGUGUUGCCAGACAACCACCUCUUCCAGAUCUAGUUGCCACAUCUUGUGACGUUGUUCAUAGAUACACAUAAACCCAAUAAAGGUGUACAGAAGGUCUGCCUUUACUGUAGGCAACUCUUGGCCUUAUUAUCUCCCAUAAUUGACACUACCACAAAAGUGGUGUUUAUUCUACUGGUAUAGGUCACUACCAUAACCAUAUGUUAUAGCUCUGAAUGGUGGUUUCUAACGGACAAUAACUAUUGUUUUAUCAUGCUGCAUUUUGUGGAUUUUGUUUCCAAACUGUGUGUGCAAGUAACACCAUUUACAGCCAUUGUUACCCUGUUUAAAGAAGGGCUCGAAGACGCAGACUGCAGGAGAAUGACUGGAAUUCGGCUGGAUGAAUGAAAGUGGCCAGAGACGUUUGGGGUCAGUGAUGGCUGUCAACUUGAUAGAGCAGGAAAAGAAGUUGUACGCUGAUGGCACCACAAACCGAGGGAGCCUGUUCGAUGUCUUGACCUCCCGUACUACAGCUAACGAAAUAAUUGGAAUUGUUCCUCUGAGUGGUGUGUGGCCCUCUUUUGUAUCCCCCUAUUACUACCAUACAUUGUAUUCCGUUACACUAUUGUAUCCAGUUGAACUUGAUGGAAUACAUUAUGCAAAUCUGUGCCUGCUUCUUGUGUAUCAGCAAGAGAGAUCUCUGAAACGUAAGCGCUACUGCAGAGUUACUGAUUAAAGUCAGAUGCAGUCGAACGCUAGCAUAGCCCAUCCUUUGUGAGGGGAAAGGGUGGUGUGGAUAAUACGGAGCCUUAAUGGCUAACUUAUCCUUAACAAUGCAGAACGAUUAAAAUUUGCUGAUUCUAAAGAGCUAUCAGCAGUUUUCGGUGACCAACAUAGGUAAUGCUCUCUGAGAGUAGGUAAUAAAUACAUAGCGAUGCUGAAGGGGGAGGAGAAA